AUUGAACGCUGGCGGCAGGCCUAACACAUGCAAGUCGAGCGGAUGAAGGGAGCUUGCUCCUGGAUUCAGCGGCGGACGGGUGAGUAAUGCCUAGGAAUCUGCCUGGUAGUGGGGGAUAACGUCCGGAAACGGGCGCUAAUACCGCAUACGUCCUGAGGGAGAAAGUGGGGGAUCUUCGGACCUCACGCUAUCAGAUGAGCCUAGGUCGGACUAGCUAGUUGGUGGGGUAAAGGCCUACCAAGGCGACGAUCCGUAACUGGUCUGAGAGGAUGAUCAGUCACACUGGAUCUGAGACACGGUCCAGACUCCUACGGGAGGCAGCAGUGGGGAAUAUUGGACAAUGGGCGAAAGCCUGAUCCAGCCAUGCCGCGUGUGUGAAGAAGGUCUUCGGAUUGUAAAGCACUUUAAGUUGGGAGGAAGGGCAGUAAGUUAAUACCUUGCUGUUUUGACGUUACCAACAGAAUAAGCACCGGCUAACUUCGUG
rnacentral:rRNA from 1 species